rnacentral:rRNA from 1 species
GGGGUUAAAAUUAAUAAUUAGUGUUGAUUUAAUAAAAGAAAUUUUAAUAUUAAAAUAUUUAAUGGGGGUUAAAGUAUUUUUAAUAGAAAAAAUUUGAAAUUUUAUAGUUAAUAAGUAUUGUGAAAGAAAUUUGAAAUAAAUUUAAAAUAAAUUUUUUUAAAAGUAAAUUUGAUUUGUUGUAUCUUGUGUAUCAGAGUUUAUUAAAAAUUUUUUAAAUUUUAAAUUUCUCGAAUUUAAAAGAGUUAAUUAAUUAUUAAAUUUAUUGUUUCAUAAAUAUUUUAAAUAAUUAAUUGGAAAUGAAAUGUUAUUCGUUUUUAAAUAUAUCUAGUUUUUUAAGAAAAAAAUUUAAUUUUUAAUUAAUUUUAAAAAUCAAUUAAUUAAAAUUAAUUGAUUUUUAAAAUUAAUUUAAUAUUUUAAGGGAUAAGCUUUAAAUUAAAUUUUUAUAAUUUAUUUGUUUAUAAAUUUGAAAAUUUUAUAAUUUAUAUUGUUAAUAAAUUUUAAUUUAUUAUAAAUAAUUUCAUUAAAUUUUAAAAUUUAAUAGUAAUUUAAUAUUUUAUUAAAAAAUAUUUUAUAAUAAAUUAUAUUUAGUUAUAAUGAUAAAAUUAGUAUAUAAUAUAAUUUUAAUAUUAAAAUUUACAUUUAUGAUAAUUAUUUUAAAGGAAUUCGACAAAAUUUUAUAUUCACCUGUUUAUCAAAAACAUGUCUUUUUGUAAAUAAUUUAAAGUCUAAUCUGCCCACUGAUUUUUAAUUAAAGGGCUGCAGUAUAUUGACUGUACAAAGGUAGCAUAAUCAAUAGUCUCUUAAUUGGUGACUUGUAUGAAAGAUUGGAUGAAAUAUAAAUUGUCUCUGAAAUAUAUAUAUUGAAUUUAAUUUUUUAUUUAAAAAGUUAAAAUAAUUUAAAAAGACGAGAAGACCCUAUAGAGUUUUAUAUUUAUUUAAUUUUAGGUUAUAUUUUAAUUUAAUUUAAACUUAAAUUUAGUUAAUUAUUUUGUUGGGGUGAUAAAAAAAUAAAUAAAACUUUUUUUUAAUUUAAUCAUUGAUUUAUGAAUUAUUGAUCCAGUUAUUAUUGAUUAUAAGAAAAAAUUACCUUAGGGAUAACAGCGUAAUUUUUUUUUUUAGUACUUAUAAGAAGAAGAGUUUGCGACCUCGAUGUUGGAUUAAGAUAAAAUUUAAAUGCAAAAGUUUAAAAUUUUUGAUCUGUUCGAUCAUUAAAAUCUUACAUGAUCUGAGUUCAAACCGGUGUAAGCCAGGUUGGUUUCUAUCUUUUAAAAAUUUUAAUAUUUUAGUACGAAAGGAUUAAAUAUUAUAAUUAAAUUAAUUGUUUUUGAAUUUUAUUAAUAAUUUAAUAUAUUUAUUA